rnacentral:rRNA from 1 species
AUGGCCGAAUGCUUCAAUAGGGUGCUCAAAGGUGCACGUGGAUUACCCGUGACGACAAUAGUUCAAUACACAUUUGACAAGAUGAAUGCGUACUUUGUAAAGUACUCGAUGGAAACCGAUGCACAGAUAGCGGGUGAGAACCCACGGAAGUACAAGUACAAGUUCCCACCCAAAGUUGAUGAAUGGUUGGUAUUUCAAUCACGGAAGGCGGACUCACAAGAAGCUAUAUUAUAUGACAACGAAGAGUGGAAGUACGAAGUGAAAGAGCCAGGAGGAACCACAAACGAUGGCCGGCAACAUGGAGGUCGGGCUUUCAAGGUGUCGUUAACACAAUGUGAUUGCACUUGCGGGAGGCCAUUGUUGCUUCAUCUCCCAUGCUCACACUUGUAUACCGCCGGUCGUGUUAGGAAUGUGGACAUCAAUCACCCACGCACCGUGAGGGAGUCGGAGUUCUCAAUCAUGAUGGUCAAGAAAACAUGGGCUCCCCGCUUUCACCCAUACUUUGACCAAUCACAAUGGCCGGAGUAUCAUGGAGUUCAACUAUGGCCGGAUCCG